AGGGAAGGACCACCAGGACCUGAUGGUAAGCCUGGUAAAGACGGGAAUCCUGGGGAACCUGGCCCUCAUGGAUUACCAGGGUUGAAGGGUGAAGAUGGCCC